UAAGGAAUAUUGGGCAAUGGGCGCAAGCCUGACCCAGCCAUCCCGCGUGCAGGAAGAAGGCCCUAUGGGUCGUAAACUGCUUUUGUUUGAGAAGAACAGGACGCAUUUAUGCGUUUGUGACGGUAUCUUACGAAUAAGCACCGGCUAACUCCGUGCCAGCAGCCGCGGUAAUACGGAGGGUGCAAGCGUUAUCCGGAAUCACUGGGUUUAAAGGGUGCGUAGGCGGCAUGAUAAGUCAGAGGUGAAAGCUUACAGCUCAACUGUAAAAUUGCCUUUGAUACUGUUGUGCUUGAAUGAGGGUGAGGCAGGCAGAACGUGGCAUGUAGCGGUGAAAUGCAUAGAUAUGCCACAGAAUACCGAUUGCGAAGGCAGCCUGCUGGCCCUGAAUUGACGCUGAGGC
rnacentral:rRNA from 1 species